rnacentral:lncRNA from 1 species
GUUCCUAAGAGGCAGGUUGACUGAGGGAAAUGGCUCCUUGUCACUCAGCUAACCUUCAAGGAAGAGGAGUGCCUGACUACACACUUUGCAAAUGUCCAGAUGCUGUUAGAGACACUUGACGGUGGAAUUUUGUGAUGCAAACUCACAGGUCUUGCAUUUGUGCACAGCUAUUUGAGAGUCAAGAGGGUGGUCCUUUCGACUGUCUCCAGCACAAAGUGCCGAGAGAGAGAGACAGAUGUGCUACUGCAGAACCCAUCGCUAAAGCUUUUGUUGCUGGACAAUCCGAUACACACAGAUACCUGCAGGAAAACAGGAAUCUGAAGGGGUGACAGGGUCCUUGGCGUUCUCAUUUACAACAGCAUUCCUGUAAGGGACUCUUGUUAAACCUAAAAGAAACAAAGAAACAAACAAGCCAUGCUGAAAAAAAUGAUAGUAGCUAUCAAACCAAGUACGAAGAGUUGGAGAGAGGAGUCCCCAAAUACAUGGUGAAAUGCAUCCUAUUGUAAUAUAACGAGAGAUGUACUAUCCUCGACACGAAUGAACAGAAAGCAAUGAGAGGUCCAUCCAGCUGGCAGAGUGGGUAAGGUUGUAACUGACAGCCAAUACUCACCUCCCCUCCUUCAGCCAGUUAUGGAUUUAUCUUUUAGACACAGAUCUAAAGAAGCUUCUCACUCAAGCAUUGUGAGUAUCCCUCAGCACGCCCCGGGGCCAGUCCCAACAUCCCCAUCCACAAUGGCCACAACACUGCUAAUCCUUAAAUCAUGGCUUAGCACUGUAACACAGAGACAUCUGCUGGGCGGGAGUCCAGGGUGCGAGUUGGAACCCCAAGUGCUGUUUUCCUGGAUAAUCUCAUGUCACCUCUCCAGGCAUCUUUGCUUGAACUGCCACCCACUGGGUGAGGUCUCACCCACCAUCCUCUCUAACGUGAUUUUCUCUCGCCUAUUGUCACGUUUUUCCACUGAUUUCCAUUUAGCACUUAUCAAAAUAAAAUCACUUCAUUUUACACUCCUUUGUCUGCCUCCCCUGCCUGCAGCUAUUGUUGAAGCAAGCAGGACCCUCUUUGGUCUGCCUCCUCCUGCAUCUCUACCUUUGAGUACAGUGUGCUGUACAUUGUAAAUGGCUUUGUAAAACUGAACAAAUGACUGAAUGGUGGCUGAGAGGCUGCUGGUCCAUCCCUCUAUUUCCUUCUGGUUAUGAAAUUUGAUUAAAAACAUCACAUUUAGGAUCAAAGCUAUUAUGGGAGACUAUUAAGUCAACAUAAAUAACUAAAAUGUGCCUGAAGAAAAAACAAGAGAUUGUAGAUACAGAAAAGAUAAUCAUCUCUACCGUGUUUAAAAACAGACGAUGAAACAAGAACUCAGAAGCCCAGGAGUCCCGCUGCAAAGGCUCACUCACAAGAAUGCCUGAUUUCUGGGAGAACUGACGACCAGGAUGGGCCAGGAGCAGCUGGGUGUGCCUGCUGUUUUAUGUGGAGGUGAGCAACUGCAUAGACAGCUCACCAGUCCAGAAGGACCCUCUUUAUACUGAUGCUGAAGUCAUAUCGUGGUUUGAAUGUGAAAUGUGCCCUAUCAAUCGACUCAAGGGUGUCAACACUCAGUCCCCAGCUGCUGAUCCUGUUUGGGAAGCUUGUGGAAUCUUUAUCAGAUGGAGCUUCAGUGGAGGAAGUUGGUCACUGGGGAUGGAUGGUCUCAUUACUCUUUACUCUCUGCUCCUUCACUGCUGGUGCACUGCUACCAUCCGGCCUCCUGCCUGCCUUCUCUAACUCAAGCCAUGUCCUCCCUGUCCUGAAGGAAUGAUCUCCAUCAACUGUAGGCCAGAAUAAACCUUUUCUUCCUUAAGUCGUGCUAGUCAGGUAUUUUUGUCACAACAAUAAGAAAAACAUCCGAGUAAGUUCUACGUGAUCCCUGUGUCCUCGGCUUGCGGUGGUUGUCUGACUCCUGGGAAGAAAGACGGCUUUGGAAGCUGCAAAGGCUGCAGUUGUAUCCCGAGACAUCUUCCUUGGUGUGAAAUCACAAGUGCGCUGAGUUUGGGCAAACGCAAUUAGGCUUGGAAAUCCAAUUAAAGAAUAGAAGACACUCUUUCUGCCUGAAGACUUUUCCUUCUAUGUAAAUCAGACAAAAAACAUGUGUAAUUUAUGAGAAUGCCGAAUGAAUUACCCUUCAGCAACCACCUUUCACAGUAUUGUCUUUCCUCCAAAGCCAAAGGAACCAAGAGAUGUAAUGAUUGUGUAAGACUUCAAUCAAAUCAAAUCAAAUGAAACUAAAAAACUAAUGCCAUGACAAUAGGCAUCAUUAGCCUUGACAAUCUUCUGACAGCAAUAGGACAAUAGUCUCAGUCCCAAAGCAGACCAUGCUCACCAUGAGUUGAACCCAAUGGGUUUAGCAGCAGCCUUGCUACUGUUGGUGCUGCGACCAUUGAGGAGUGGUCAGUGUGCAUUUGAUUUCAUUCAUGUCCCAGCCAGGCACACAUCUCUGUCCAUCUUCUCCAGGGGCAAAUGGAGUGACGUCUGAUGAAAGAUCCAGAGUCAUGUCUGCGUGAUUUUCCUUGCACUUUGAUUUAAUGAGACAGAAGUAAGGCAGUGGCAAGACAAGAUCCAGGAUCUUUCCCCACAUGACAACACUGUUGUUUCAAUGAGUCCCAGUGAGCUGGCAGACUUCUUCUUGAUGCUGCAAUAGGGAAAUUGGUAGAUAGGA